rnacentral:rRNA from 1 species
UCCAGUUUAUCCUGCUGGCGGCUGCGGCUAUCUGGCCUGCACUUAGACAUGCAAGUCUGAUUGAAAAGUCGGCGAACUGCUCAGUAACACGUAGCUAACCUACCCUUAGGUCAAGGAUACCCUCGGGAAACUGAGGCUAAUACUUGAUAGAAGAUUUUUUCUGCAAGGAAUUAUCUUUGAAACUCGAGCCUAAGGAUGGGGCUGCGGCUGAUUAGGUAGUUGUUGGGGUAAAAGCCUAACAAGCCAAUGAUCAGUAAGGGCUCUUAGCGGAGAAGCCCUGAGAAGGAAUCUGAGACACUAUUCCUAGCCUUACGGGGUGCAGCAGUCGGGGAACUUUUGCAAUGCACGAAAGUGUGACAAAGCAAGCCAGAGUGUUUCUUAUAUUUAAGAAACUUUUAUCAGCUGUAAAAAAGCUGAAGAAUAAGGACUGGGUAAGACCGGUGCCAGCCGCCGCGGUAAUACCGGCGGUCCGAGUCGCAGCCAUCAUUAUUGGGUCUAAAACAUCCGUAGCUUGUUUUACAAGUCUCUUGUGAAAUCUUAUAUCUCAAGUAUAAGGCGUGCAAGAGAUACUGUAUGACUAGAGACCGGAAGACGCAAGGAGUACGACUAAGGUAGUGGUAAAAUACGUUAAUCUUGGUUGGACUAACAAUGGCGAAGGCACCUUGCGAGGACGGAUCUGACAGUGAGGGAUGAAGGCUAGGGGCGCAAAACGGAUUAGAUACCCGUGUAGUCCUAGCAGUAAACACUGCACACUAAACAUCAGUACCUCCUCGAGAGGUAUUGGUGCUGUAGGGAAGCCGAAGAGUGUGCUACCUGGGAAGUAUAGCCGCAAGGCCGAAACUUAAAGGAAUUGGCGGGGGAGUACUACAACGGGUGACGCGUGCGGUUCAAUUAGAUUUUACACCGUGAACCUCACCAGGAGCGAUAGCAGAAUGAAGGUCAGUCUAAAGGGCUUACCUGACACGCUAAGAGGAGAUGCAUGGCCGACGUCAGCCUGUGCCGUGAGGUGACCUGUUAAAUCAGGUAACAGGCGAGACCCGCGUGUAUAGUUACUAUUUGCACACUAUACAGACUGCCUUGGUAACAAGGAGGAAGGCGCGGGCUACGUUAGGUGAGUACGACCCGAAUCUCCUGGGCGACACGCGCGCGGCAAUGCUGUAUUCAAAGAGAUGCGACUCUGAAAGGAGAAGCCAAUCUCAUAAAGUACAGCCUAGUUCAGAUUGAGGUUUGCAACUCAACCUCAUGACGAUGGAAUCCGUAGUAAUCGUUUGUUAGCAACGAACGGUGAAUAGGUCCCUGCUCCUUGCACACACCGCCCGUCAAACCAACCGAGUUAUGUCUUGGUGAGGCCCAAAUAAGGAACAAGCCUUGGCAUGACAAGGUAGGUUAAGUCGUCACAAGGUA